UCGAGAAUCAUUCGCAAUGGGCGCAAGCCUGACGAUGCGACGCCGUGUGUGUGAUGAAGGCCUUCGGGUCGUAAAGCACUUUCGCUUGGGAACAAGAGAAGUCGGAUAAUACCCGGCUAAUUUGAGGGUACCAGGUAAAGAAGCACCGGCUAACUACGUGCCAGCAGCUGCGGUAAUACGUAGGGUGCAAGCAUUAAUCGGAAUUAUUGGGCGUAUAGGGCGCGUAGGCGGAUCUAUAAGUCGGUUGUGAAAUCCUAGGGCUCAACCUUAGAAUAGCACCCGAAACUAUAGAACUAGAGGGUAGGCGGAGAAAACGGAAUUCCACAAGUAGCGGUGAAAUGCGUAGAUAUGUGGAAGAACAUCGGUGGCGAAGGCGGUUUUCUAGCUUAUUCCUGACGCUGAGGCGCGAAAGCAAGGGGAUCAAACAGGAUUAGAUACCCCCGUAGUCC
rnacentral:rRNA from 1 species